AUUGAACGCUGGCGGCAGGCCUAACACAUGCAAGUCGAACGAGUGGCGGACGGGUGAGUAAUGUCUCGGAAACUGCCUGAUGGAGGGGGAUAACUACUGGAAACGGUCGCUAAUACCGCAUACCAUCGGAUGUGCCGAGAUGGGAUUAGCUAGUGGGUGGGGUAAAGGCUCACCUAGGCGACGAUCCCUAGCUGGUCUGAGAGGACGACCAGCAAAACUGGAACUGAGACACGGGCCAGACUCCGACGGGAGGCAGCAGUGGGGAAUUUUGGACAAUGGGCGAAAGCCUGAUGCAGCCAUGCCGCGUGUAUGAAGAAGGCCUUCGGGUUGUAAAGUACUUUUGGCAGGGAAGCGGUACCCGCAGAAUAAGCACCGGCUAACUCCGUGCCAGCAGCCGCGGUAAUUC
rnacentral:rRNA from 1 species